GAUUAACGCUGGCGGCGUGCAUAACACUUGCAAGUCGAACGAUGAAACUUUACUGACUUCUUCGGAAUGAUUUAAAGCGGAUUAGUGGCGAACGGGUGAGUAACGCGUGAGUAACCUGCCUUACACAAGGGGCUAGCCUCUGGAAACGGAGAAUAAUACCCUAUGAAACCAGACAAUCGCAUGAUAAUCUGGUCAAAAUGUUUAGUGGUGUAAGAUGGACUUGCGUCUGAUUAGCUAGUUGGUGAGAUAAAAGCUCACCAAGGCAACGAUCAGUAGCCGGCUGGAGAGAGUGUACGGCCACAUUGGGACUGAGACACGACGCAGACACCUGCGGGAGGCAGCAGUGGGGAAUUAUGCACAAUGGGGGAAACACUGAUGCAGCGACGCCGCGUAAUUUAGAAGGCCUUCGGGUUGUAAAAAUCUUUUGUAUAGGAAGAAAAUGACAGUACUAUACGAAUAAGGACCGGCUAAUUACGUG
rnacentral:rRNA from 1 species